rnacentral:rRNA from 1 species
GAUGAACGCUGGCGGCGUGCCUAAUACAUGCCAGUCGAGCGAACGGACGAGAAGCUUGCUUCUCUGAUGUUAGCGGCGGACGGGUGAGUAACACGUGGAUAACCUACCUAUAAGACUGGGAUAACUUCGGGAAACCGUAGCUAAUACCGGAUAAUAUUUUGAACCGCAUGGUUCAAAAGUGAAAGACGGUCUUGCUGUCACUUAUAGAUGGAUCCGCGCUGCAUUAGCUAGUUGGUAAGGUAACGGCUUACCAAGGCAACGAUGCAUAGCCGACCUGAGAGGGUGAUCGGCCACACUGGAACUGAGACACGGUCCAGACUCCUACGGGAGGCAGCAGUAGGGAAUCUUCCGCAAUGGGCGAAAGCCUGACGGAGCAACGCCGCGUGAGUGAUGAAGGUCUUCGGAUCGUAAAACUCUGCUAUUAGGGAAGAACAUAUGUGUAAGUAACUGUGCACAUCUUGACGGUACCUAAUCAGAAAGCCACGGCUAACUACGUG